rnacentral:rRNA from 1 species
AUUGAACGCAGGCGGCAGGCCUAACACAUGCAAGUCGAACGAGUGGCGGACGGGUGAGUAAUGUCUGGGAAACUUCCUGAUGGAGGGGGAUAACGACUGGAAACGGUAGCUAAUACCGCAUACCAUCAGAUGUGCCCAGAUGGGGUGAGCUAGGUGGUGGGGUAACCUCUCCCCAGGGCGCCGAUCCCUAGCUGGUCUGAGAGUAUGACCAGCCACACUGGAACUGAGACACGGUCCAGAGUCCUACGGGAGGCUGCAGGGGGGAAUAUUGAACUAUGGGCGCAAGCCUGAUGCAGCCAUGCCGCGUGUAUGAAGAUUGCUUUCGGGUUGUAAAGUACUUUCAGCGGGGAGGCGUUACCCGCAGAAGAAGCACCGGCUAACUCCGUGCCAGCCGCCGCGGUAAUAC